rnacentral:rRNA from 1 species
GACGAACGCUGGCGGCGUGCUUAACACAUGCAAGUCGAACGGUGAAGCGCCUUCCUUUUUGGUGGGUGUGGAUGAGUGGCGAACGGGUGAGUAACACGUGAGUAACCUGCCCCCUUCUUCUGGAUAACCGCAUGAAAGUGUGGCUAAUACGGGAUAUUCUGGGUCUGUCGCAUGAUGGGUCUGGGAAAGAUAUUGUUUCGGUGGGGGAUGGGCUCGCGGCCUAUCAGCUUGUUGGUGGGGUGAUGGCCUACCAAGGCGGUGACGGGUAGCCGGCCUGAGAGGGUGGACGGUCACACUGGGACUGAGACACGACCCAGACUCCUACGGGAGGCAGCAGUGGGGAAUAGUGCACAAUGGGCGCAAGCCUGAUGCAGCGACGCCGCGUGAGGGAUGGAGGCCUGCGGGUUGUGAACCUCUUUCGCCAGUGAAGCAGGCCUGCCUCGUUUGUGGGUGGGUUGACGGUAGCUGGAUAAGAAGCGCCGGCUAACUACGUG